rnacentral:tRNA from 1 species
GCAGUGCGUGGCCGAAUGGUUACGCUGUCCGCUAUGUAAGCGGAUGAUUCUGUGUUCGAUUCCCAUCUGCUGCA